CCUACGGGAGGCUGCAGUGAGGAAUAUUGGUCAAUGGCCGGAAGGCUGAACCAGCCAAGCCGCGUGAAGGACGAAGGUGCCAAGCAUUGUAAACUUCUUUUGUCAAGGGACAAAAUCAGGCUCGAGAGCCUGACCGAGGGUACUUGAAGAAAAAGCAUCGGCUAACUCCGUGCCCGCAGCCGCGGUAUACGGAGGAUGCGAGCGUUACCCGGAUUUUGUGGGUUUAAAGGGUGCGUAGGCGGGCUGUUAAGUCAGCGGUAAAAGCCCGGGGCUCAACCCCGGCGAGCCGUUGAAACUGGCUGUCUUGAGAUGUCGAGAGGUAUGCGGAAUGCGCAGUGUAGCGGUGAAAUGCUUAGAUAUUGCGCAGAACUCCGAUUGCGAAGGCAGCAUACCGGCGGCGAUCUGACGCGGAGGCACGAAAGCGUGGGUAUCGAACAGGAUUAGAUAUCCUAGUAGUC
rnacentral:rRNA from 1 species